UUGCUUUCCGGGCACUUCCGUAUACUCAUAAAGCUUCGUAAAAGAUGUUCUGGAGAAGACAAGUUAGUUAGAUGAAGGCUAGGCGUUCUAGGACUCUCUAGCUAGCUAGUAUAGCUAUGUAACUGGAUUGCUUGGCACCUAGGAAGGAUCUUCGAAGAAAUAAAGAGACAAAGACUCCUGUCGCUCGAAUGGUGGUGGUAAGUGUCGGAGGCCUGAGAAACGCUAGUCUAUUGGCUAGAAUGUUGUUAUGGAGUGUUUAUGAGGACAAGUGGCACGGGAUACGUACAUCUAAAGAAACAAGAGUGGAUCUGCGCCAAGCUAGCUAGCUAGAUAGCUGCUCUUUCUAAUCUAUUUCUGUUGCUAAAUUAUGUUUGUUAAGAAGUGGAGCUAUAAUAUACCUGGCUCCUCUUGAUGAUUGUAAGUACUGGGCUGAUGAAAUAGUCCUGUACAAGUUGUCAUCUUUUA